rnacentral:rRNA from 1 species
UACGGAGGGUGCAAGCGUUGCUCGGAAUUAUUGGGCGUAAAGGGUAGGUAGGUGGUCUCAUUUGUCUGGGGUGAAAGCCUUGAGCUUAACUCAAGAAGUGCCCCAGAAACGGUGAGACUAGAGUCCUGGAGAGGGUCGUGGAAUUCCCGGUGUAGCGGUGAAAUGCGUAGAUAUCAGGAGGAACACCAGUGGCGAAGGCGGCUUCCUGGACACCAACUGACGCUGAGACGCGAAAGCGUGGGGAGCAAACAGG